rnacentral:ribozyme from 1 species
AGAAGAAAAUCUGUGCUCAGCGUGUCUCCUCUAUGACACGUCAUGAUUCUGAUGAAAAUGUGCAAGUGACUACCAAACGCAUGUACUUUUAUAAAAGUCCG